rnacentral:lncRNA from 1 species
GGCGUCUCGAAGAUGAUGAGAACACAAAAAUAACAGUACAUGAGAGUAAACAACGUUCGGAAUCACGAUGGUUUUUGUGUUGUUUGAUAAUGUUGACAGUUCUGCUGGCAAUAAAUAAAAUGGAGAGACAAAAAACACAUUUUUGAUGAUAAGAUGUUUACAUGUCACUAAUAAACCAACCACUCUCUUCGUUGACUCGAGUAAAGUCUGUUCUUCCAAGCUAUUUGUCGCUUGUAAAAAUAUUUUAUCUGGU